rnacentral:rRNA from 1 species
UACAGAGGUCCCAAGCGUUGUUCGGAUUCAUUGGGCGUAAAGGGUGCGUAGGCGGCGCGGUAAGUCGGGUGUGAAAUCUCGGAGCUUGACUCCGAAACUGCAUUCGAUACUGCCGUGCUUGAGGACUGGAGAGGAGACUGGAAUUUACGGUGUAGCGGUGAAAUGCGUAGAUAUCGUAAGGAAGACCAGUGGCGAAGGCGGGUCUCUGGACAGUUCCUGACGCUGAGGCACGAAGGUCAGGGGAGCAAACGGG